rnacentral:rRNA from 1 species
UACGGAGGGUGCAAGCGUUAUCCGGAUUCACUGGGUUUAAAGGGUGCGUAGGUGGGCAGGUAAGUCAGUGGUGAAAUCUCCGGGCUUAACUCGGAAACUGCCAUUGAUACUAUCUGUCUUGAAUACCGUGGAGGUUAGCGGAAUAUGUCAUGUAGCGGUGAAAUGCUUAGAUAUGACAUAGAACACCCAUUGCGAAGGCAGCUUACUACGCCUAUAUUGACGCUGAGGCACGAAAGCGUGGGGAUCAAACAGG